GAUGAACGCUGGCGGCGUGCCUAAUACAUGCAAGUCGAGCGAACAGACGAGGAGCUUGCUCCUCUGACGUUAGCGGCGGACGGGUGAGUAACACGUGGAUAACCUACCUAUAAGACUGGGAUAACUUCGGGAAACCGGAGCUAAUACCGGAUAAUAUAUUGAACCGCAUGGUUCAAUAGUGAAAGACGGUUUUGCUGUCACUUAUAGAUGGAUCCGCGCCGCAUUAGCUAGUUGGUAAGGUAACGGCUUACCAAGGCGACGAUGCGUAGCCGACCUGAGAGGGUGAUCGGCCACACUGGAACUGAGACACGGUCCAGACUCCUACGGGAGGCAGCAGUAGGGAAACUUCCGCAAUGGGCGAAAGCCUGACGGAGCAACGCCGCGUGAGUGAUGAAGGUCUUCGGAUCGUAAAACUCUGUUAUUAGGGAAGAACAAAUGUGUAAGUAACUAUGCACGUCUUGACGGUACCUAAUCAGAAAGCCACGGCUAACUACGUG
rnacentral:rRNA from 1 species